AACGAACGCUGGCGGCAGGCUUAACACAUGCAAGUCGUGGGGCAGCAGGGUUGUAGCAAUACAAUCGCUGGCGACCGGCAAACGGGUGCGUAACACGUACGCAACCUUCCCGUUACUGUGGCAUAGCCCAGGGAAACUUGGAUUAAUACCACAUAUUAUAUUGAGGGGGCAUCCCUUUGAUAUCAAAGCUUCGGCGGUAACGGAUGGGCGUGCGGUUGAUUAGGUAGUUGGCGGGGUAACGGCCCACCAAGCCUACGAUCAAUAGCUGAUGUGAGAGCAUGAUCAGCCACACGGGCACUGAGACACGGGCCCGACUCCUACGGGAGGCAGCAGUAAGGAAUAUUGGGCAAUGGACGAAAGUCUGACCCAGCCAUGCCGCGUGAAGGAUUAAGGUCCUCUGGAUUGUAAACUUCUUUUCUCUGGGGCGAAAACCAGCUAUUCUUAGCUAUUUGACAGUACCAGAGGAAUAAGCACCGGCUAACUCCGUGCCAGCCGCCGCAGUAACAC
rnacentral:rRNA from 1 species